rnacentral:rRNA from 1 species
GACGAACCGUGCGACCGUUGUUCGGAAUCACUGGGCUUAAAGGGCGCGUAGGCGGGUCGAAAAGUCCGUGGUGAAAUCCCCCCGCUCAACGGGGGAACGGCCGCGGAUACUGUCGGCCUCGAGGGGGGUAGGGGCGAGCGGAACGCUGGGUGGAGCGGUGAAAUGCGUUGAUAUCCAGCGGAACUCCGGUGGCGAAGGCGGCUCGCUGGACCCCCACUGACGCUGAGGCGCGAAAGCCAGGGGAGCGAACGGG